UGGGGAAUAUUGCACAAUGGGGGAAACCCUGAUGCAGCAACGCCGCGUGAGUGAAGAAGUAUUUCGGUAUGUAAAGCUCUAUCAGCAGGGAAGAAGAUGACGGUACCUGAUUAAGAAGCCCCGGCUAACUACGUGCCAGCAGCCGCGGUAAUACGUAGGGGGCAAGCGUUAUCCGGAUUUACUGGGUGUAAAGGGAGCGUAGACGGCAUAGCAAGUCUGAAGUGAAAGCCCAAGGCUUAACCAUGGGACUGCUUUGGAAACUGUUAAGCUAGAGUGCUGGAGAGGUAAGCGGAAUUCCUAGUG
rnacentral:rRNA from 1 species